GGGAAGGAGAGACAGAGCCCCAAGGACAGACAUCCCUGAGAGUUUUGAGGCACGCAGAGCAGAGAGAAGAGAAAGGAAGUGAAGAACUGCAUUUAGAUGAAAGUAGAGAAAGAGAAAGAAGACAAACUAAUUGGGAAAAAAAACUUAAGAGAGUUAUUCAGGUAAAGACAAUGACAGACUAACAUUUCAGUAAAGAAAAUAGAUGAUAGAAGAGUAGAAAGAGAAUGGCUGAAGGGCAAGAGAAAGACUGGAAUAGAGGGGAAACGGAGGAGGAAAGGGCAGAGAUGACAGAUCACAAUUAUACAGCUUAUAUUCAAACUAUCUUAUUAAAAGAAGUUGAGAAAUAAGUAUGGCUGCUACAGGUCUAAACCCUUAAGGGAAAAAAUGGCAGGUCGAUUGGCGAUCUCUAGGAGGGACAGAUCAGAUCAGAAUGUCAGAUAGACUGAGGCAGGCAAGGAAAUUUAAGUAGCUAACUACCAAAGUCAGAAAAGGAGGGGGGGAAAUGUAGGAGAUGGAAAAGGUAAGAAAUAGGAGGGGGAAAACCCAGAGGAGAGACUGGCCCAGAAACCUUUUUAACUUUCUGCAAGAAUCUUCAAGGCCCCCAAACUAGGCCAAUCCACUGACUGACAUUUCUGAGCUCACCAGCUGCUGUUUCCUUAAGAGAAUUCUGACGGAAAGGCAGCAGAAUCCAAGCCAACAUGGUCAGCUCUGAAAUAAAUAAAUAAAUAAAUAACCCCCCCAAGACAAUCACAGUCAGACACCUCAGUGGGGGUCUGAGCCCUUCCAGAGGGAAAUGCACAGAGAGAAAGAAGAUCCCGGCAACUUCUCCCCAGAUCUAAUGGAAUAAAAUUAAAGGCAACCUGAAGAAGCUACAAGGUACAAGGCUGGAGCCACCUUUCCCAAGUCACUGCACCUUGCUCUGGCUGGUCAAACGGAACCAAGUCCGUCUGACUGAGAGGUUUGGUCCCCUUCAACCAGCUACAGCAGGGCUGACAUCACCCAGGACCAGGACUGGAAGGCAGCCGGAGAAGCUCACUUGACUCAAGCACUGGGCUCUUAUCCCAUCAGCAUCCUUCCUGAUUAGCAUGAAGGAAGGGAUGGAGGGACUCUUAGUCAAUACAACAUCAAACACAGCCUUGUACUUUAACACUCACAAAUGUUAUGUAUAUAUUCUAUAUACAAUCAACCCAUCCACAAUUAGUCUUGAGGAGGGGUAGGAGGGAAGGAAAGAACAUGGAUUCCAAAUGUCAGAAAAUGAUUAUUAAAAAUUGUAGCUACAUGUAAUCUGAAAAAAUAAAAAUUAUUAUCAUUAUUAUUAUUAA